rnacentral:rRNA from 1 species
UACGGAGGGGGCUAGCGUUGUUCGGAAUUACUGGGCGUAAAGGGCGCGUAGGUGGCCGCCCAAGUCAGGCGUGAAAGGCCCGGGCUCAACCCGGGAACGGCGCUUGAUACUGGAUGGCUUGAGAUCGGGAGAGGAGAGUGGAAUUCCCAGUGUAGAGGUGAAAUUCGUAGAUAUUGGGAAGAACACCGGUGGCGAAGGCGGCUCUCUGGCCCGCAUCUGACGCUAAGGCGCGAAAGCGUGGGGAG